rnacentral:lncRNA from 1 species
AACAAACUCUUCUAGAGAGAUUAGCAUGACUAAAAGGGAGCCAAGUGCUAAUAUUCUUUGUAUUCAAUACUUUCCUGAGGAUUAAAUGAAAUAAAAUACAUGAAGCACCUUGCAAAAGCUGCAAGGUUCCUGGCCCCUCAUAUGCACUACAUAAAUGACAACUUCCAAGAAAGUCAUGUUCAAGUCAGCACCCUGCCUUGGAUACGAUUGGAGUUGUCUAGGUUACUUAAAAUUUACCAGCGCACAAAUCACCCAAGGAUCUGGAUAAAAGGCAGAGUCUGGUUCAACAGGUUGGGGGUUGGGGGUAGAUGCCACAUCUCUCACAGGUUUCCGGGCGAUAGUGACGCGUAGCGACGCUGCUGGACUGGGCCCCUGCUGAGUAGGGAGGAACUCGGCUGUGGAGCUCGCUCUGACCAAAACCACAUGGUGCUCUUGGGCAAGCGACCUUCCCUCGCUGAGGCUUACUCUCCCACCUGUAAAACAAAACAGAGAAAUGCAAAAUAAAAACAAGAACUAUUUAUUUUCCAAGAGCAUAGAUUUGCUUCUUGGUGUGAUAUGACUGGUCCACCCUGGAAGCCAGAAAGGCAACUGCAAGGUCUGCUGCCUCUAGGGGUUUCUCAGGGGGUGACUCAGUUUCCUGCUUAACUCCCCUACUGCUUAAGGUUUAUAAAGAUCAUAGUGCGGACCUCUGAAAGACUUAAGGGAAAACAAAAACCAAAACAAGAAAAACUUCUAAUUUUACGGAUAAAACUAAAUGGAACAAACUGCAUUAUUUUCAUCUGAAUUCCUUUCCUCGUGGCUCAUUUUGACACGGAGAAAAUAAAUUGCCAUCUACCCCCCAAACCAGCUGCUUCCAGUCAGAGCGAAUGGAUCAUGAUUUAAUGAAGACAGCCAUCUGUUACAGGGUAAAAAUCCUAAUUAAGCAAUAUAUGAAUCAGAACAAAAUUAGCCAUCAGGUCAUUAGACUUCUGUAACUGCAGAAAGGAGCGUGGAGUCAUUACCACGUGGGGCAGUCCUUCUCUAAGCACCAGACUGCGAGGAGAAACCCAUCCCUCCCCUGGAACGCUGCAGCCCAAACAGGAGGGGUUGGAAGGUUCUGAGGCGCUAAUUGAAAUAAAUAAUCUGCUUUCAGAGAAGCCCUGGUGUCCUGCAUAAUGAAUGUACCUCUCGUCUGUCCAACAUGUCACAGUUUGACAGAUGCUUUCGCACCUAGGAGGACCUGAACCCUCCUCUGCUAACCUUGUGUAGGUCUGACGGUGGGAGCUGUAGGUCCAGCGACUCGCUCAAGAGACCACAGCUGAAAAGGAGCCAAGGCAAGGCCAGCAUCCAGGUGUGUGGCCUCCACAUCCUGCCACCGACACUGCCUCCUCCUCGAUGAAUGUCCCCGAGGAGCGUGUGUUAUCCCAAAUUAAUGAGAGACGCUAAUGACUGAAGCUCUUGGCUCUGCAAGAUUGGAUGCCUCUCUGAAGCUUUCAGAUGCUAGGGGGAUGACUCUAGCACACUGCAAAGCUGCUGGAAGUGUUGUGCACCACUCUCUAGUUGGCCAGAGGACCAGCUGACUAAAAGACCCUGGCUGCCUUUCACUGCUGUUCCAGUAACGCUGAUAGCUCUGCAUCCUGCACAUAGUAGGUACUCAAUAACUAAAUGUCGAAUGGGUGAAGAAUACGUGCGCAUAGUAGGUACUCAAUAACUAAAUGUCAAAUGCGUGAAGAAUACGUGAACAACCUUGAUGAGUCCCUGCAUCCCUCUUAACUAACCCUCAGGACUCCAGAGAAAAAUAUUUAGUUGUUCCCUCUUGUCUAUAACAUAAAGCUCUCAAUAUAUCAUCUUUAUCAAAAGCCUUUAAAUAGAGACAAGUUGUACCACUAGACAAUGCGCUCUCCAAACCCACAGGCAAAGAGCAGAAAGCUUUCUGCUCCAUCCCUUGCCAGCCCUGGGACUCUUCUAUGGUCACAGCUUUGCUAGGGAUAAAUGGUAGCUCAUCUUUAUUUCAGCUUACAUGUGGUUUGUUACUACAGAGGAGGGGAGGUGCAUUUUCCUAUAUGUCUCCCUACUAAUUAUGCCCCUUUUUGGAAAUUGUAUCCUUUACUCAUUUAGUUACAGAAAACUCAGUUUUUCUUAUUUAUGUGUAGGAUUUUUUUUUUUUUUUUUGAGACAGAGUCUCACUCUGUUGUCCAGGCUGGAGUACAGUAGCACAAUCUCGGCUCACUGCAACCUCCACCUCCCAAGUUCAAGCAAUUCUCCUGCCUCAGCUUCCCAAGUAGCUGGGAUUACAGGCACGUGUCACCACACCCAGUAAUUUUUGUAUUUUUAGUAGAGACAGGGUUUCGCCGUGUUGGCCAUGCUGGUCUCGAACUCCUGACGUCAGGUGAUCUUCCCACCUUGGCCUCCCAAAAUGCUGAGAUUACAGGUGUGAGCCACGGUGCCCGGCCAUGAAUUUUUUAUAUAAUAAAAAUAUUAACUCUUUGCUGCAAAUAUUUUUCCUACUAUUUUUCUCCUCUCCCCAUCCCACCUCCAAGUGCAAAGACUUUAAAAUUUGCUGACGUCCCUUCUGCCCAUUGUUUUCCCUUGGGCUUGUUUCCAGUGAUGCUGUGCUUAGCAAGUCUUUUCUCCCCCCAGAUGUUUGAUAGAUAUUCAAGUCUAAUUCUUCUGGUGAUGUACAGAUUGUCUCACACUUACCUAACCUCUGUCAUCCACCUGGAAUGUAUUUUGAUAUGUGAUGUAAGAAGCUUUUCUCUUCGCUCCCUACUUCUUCAUUCUCCACGUGACCGCAGAGUUCUACACAAGUGCAGGUUAAAGCUGGACAUAGUUAGACGUUGC